rnacentral:lncRNA from 1 species
AUAAGUUAAGUUGAGGUGUGAGUUAGAAUUGCAUUGAGUUGGAUUUGAAGUGAAUUGAGUUCGUUUCGAGGACGAAACUCUUUUUAAGGAGGGGAGGAUGUAGGGUACCGGACUUCGAAAAUCAUGAGGUUACGGUGUCCGUUCGGUUGGAGAGCCAUUUGAAUGGUUCCGGUAAGGUUGCGGUGUAAUGUAAUAUACCAGAUUUGAAUAUAAAAAUAAAAUAAAUAAAAAUAGUAUGAGAUACUAUUUUAUUGGAUUUAGAGAAGUGAAAUAUAGGUUGGGAAUGACCUGUGCUGAAAUCGGAGCGAAAACAGAAGAUUUAGAAUUUUCUGUGGGAAACGGGACAGAAAAAUUAACAGAAAAUGCACAGUCUCAGAAAAUUAUGAAAAUUGGAGGAUAAGUCAGAAAUAUUUUUAUGAGGCUAGAUUUAAGGUUUCAUAUUUUUCUGACACCCGUAGAGUGAGAAAUAGAAUUCGAAGGCUAUCUGAUAAAGAUUGCAGUUCGGCACAGUUUUCGGUGACCAAACGGGGUCGAAACUGAAAACUUAAGAUAUAUACUUGCUCAGCACGUUAAACUGAGUAUGCCUGUCAAAUUUGAGCUCAAUCGGACAUCCAGAAGGGCUCCAACGAAACUUAUCAGAUUUAGGGACUAAAUUGAAAGAUUGCAUAGUUGAGGGGCUAACUCGUAAAAAGGGAUCAAAUCCCUUUCUUCCUCAGCCGUAGCAGCCCCAAACCGACACAUACACACACACCCAACACACGCAUGGAAGGGAAAAGAGAAAGCUCUCCUUUCUCUCUCUAAAUCUCUCCCAAAAAGAGAUGAUUUUGGUGGAGAUUGAAGCUCUAAGGUGGAUUUCCAUCUUCUCCAUCUUCUUCCUCUCCAUUGGAGCAUGGUUUGUAGGUAAGCUUCAAAACCCUUUAAUGGUAUCUCUUUGUAGUUUGGGUUUUAAGCUUCAAGAAUGGAUUUAGAGCUAUUCUAGCAUGCUAAAUAGAUGAUUAUUGCUAGAAUCUAAGAUCAAUUUAAUUAAUUCUUGCCUAGUUAUAAACCUAGGGCUCGAAAUGCAAUUUUUAAAAAUAUGAGGGUUUGAUCUCAUUUAACCCUCUGGAAACCUAAUUGAUAGGUCACUGAACGUGUUGGAAGUGACGGUUCGGCGAUUCGUCGAGCCGGUGCAAAGUUAUUAAAGAAACGGAUGUUUAGGCUUCGUUUCUGCCUGGAGGGCCGAGGCGACGUCGUAAAAUCCUGGAAACGGAUUUGAAGCAUCGUAAUAGGAAACCGAAGACCUUUAAUUUUCGGAUCGCGGAUCGGAGGUCGUUUGGUGGUCGCGCGCGCGGAUUGGGUCGAGCCAAGCGGCGUGCGCCGCGGGAGGCCGAUUGCGAGUGACGACGAGCAAUCGGAACGCGAUAAAAGGUGGGUGGUGUCCAUCCCGAAUCAAUCGGGCUCCCUUUUAUGUCUAAGUUUUAUAUUGAUCAAAUUGCAUAUUGACAUCUUGCAUUAUAGGGUGAUAAAUGAUGGUUUGGUCCUAUACCUUGCAUGUUCUUUGGUAGAAUAAUGUAUUUGGCUUAGUACUUAUAUCUAACAUGCUUGAGGUUUAUAUAUGUGAUGUGGAACCCUAUAAUGAGAUGAUAAGUGUGGAUGGGAAUUUAAUAAUGCAUUGGCUAUUGCAUUGAAAACUUGUAAAGAACGAGUGGCAUCUAGUUGAUAGUAAACAAAGAACAAAUGACACCUAUGAGUCAUAGUGUAUAUGAAACCUAUGGGCUAUAUGAUGGUUGUAACCCUAGAGGAUAGGGUAUUCUCGAGACGAGGAUUGGAUCAUGCUCACGGUCUGUUUUUAAAUCUUGUGAUGGAAGCCCCACACAAGUAGUGCGCUCCGGAGUUGGUCACGUGGGAUUGCUGAUUUCGGGUCCCAAGGGAUUGCCUAUUUUAGGCCCCGGCAGACGGUCUCGGUUCGUAGUGCGAGUUGAACCUCCCUACCUUCGAGAUGGCUAGUGAGCUGUAGGCUCCUUCAGGGAAGCCACGAGAUUAAGAAACAAGUAAAUGAGAUUGAUGAACGAGUAAAUGGCUUUACCUUUGGACAUGGUAAUGGGUUAGUUGCUUACCUAUUUCAUUGUACAUGCAUUCAUAUCUUUAUGAUUGGGCAUAGUAGAGUACCUUUACUUCUGUCAUUUACCGCUUUCCUUAUCUAUCUAUCUAUCGAUUAUCUACUUGUGCCCAACUUGGACCUAGUGGGGAGAUCGGCGGAGUCGGCGGCCGAACCCACUGGGAACUAAGGAAGUUAGUUCUCACCCCCAUUUUUACUACAGGGCCGAGCGCGAGUUCACACGGCGAGGAUCGCGGUAAGGGCC